rnacentral:rRNA from 1 species
AUUGAACGCUGGCGGCAGGCCUAACACAUGCAAGUCGAGCGGACGAGGAGAGCUUGCUCUCUGAUCUAGCGGCGGACGGGUGAGUAAUGCCUAGGAAUCUGCCUGGUAGUGGGGGAUAACGUCCGGAAACGGGCGCUAAUACCGCAUACGUGCUACGGGAGAAAGCAGGGGACCGUCGGGCCUUGCGCUAUCAGAUGAGCCUAGGUCGGAUUCGCUAGUUGGUGAGGUAAUGGCUCACCAAGGCUACGAUCCGUAACUGGUCUGAAAGGAUGAUCAGUCGCACUGGAACUGAGACACGGUCCAGACUCCUACGGGAGGCAGCAGUGGGGAAUAUUGGACAAUGGGCGAAAGCCUGAUCCAGCCAUGCCGCGUGUGUGAAGAAGGUCUUCGGAUUGUAAAGCACUUUAAGUUGGGAGGAAGGGCAGUAAGUUAAUACCUUGCUGUUUUGACGUUACCGACAGAAUAAGCACCGGCUAACUACGUGCCAGCCGCCGCGGUAAUAC